UCAGGUCUCCCAUGAGAUGGUCA
rnacentral:siRNA from 1 species